rnacentral:lncRNA from 10 species
AGCUGAAGCAUAAAUAUAUACACACUCUAAAUAGAAAUGUAGUUGAAAAUAGAAAUUAUUCUUUUGCAAACUGGUACAUGAGUUCUUUUUAGGUAAGUAAUUGUCUUUAUUUAUAAUAAUAUCUUGAGAGAUGCCUAAGGGGUGGUAGGUGAGGCUCUGUACGGGUUGGGGAAAAAAACAAUUAAAAGAUCACAAAAUCAUAUUCUGCAGAGCCAAGAGUAGAAAAAAAAUCACAAAAUAAUUCUGCAUAAGCAAUUAUUGGGAGGUAUGGGAAGAAGAGAGAAGUGGUAAGGGAGGAGGCACAGUGGGAGAGGAGGCUGAGCAAAAUGUCAGGAAGCUUACAUUUGGGUUGGUGGAAAUAGAACAAGGAAAUCAAGUUUUCAGUUUUAAAUUGGCUGCUAAAGAGUUUUGCAUAUUUGCCAUGUAGCCUCCCUAUAUGGCAAACAUUAUCUUUGAAUUGCCAGGAACAGGCUACCACACACAGCUGCCUCUCAUGAAUUUGGGAUGGGAAAUCAAAGAGGAGGAGCUGUAACACAUCCCUGGGUCAGUGCCAAAAGAAGAUAAAGGAACAGCUGCAAGAUACUGCAGAGUGAAGAAUGGUAAUUCAGCAGAAGCCAGAAAUCAAACCCAGAGGUACCAAGAGAAUGGGAAGCCCAGAAGUAUCUCAGGGAGUUUGGGAGAGCACCAACUUCCCAUAACACAUGGGAUGAGGUUUCCAGGAUUCAAUGAGAAGACAGCAGUCUGCAAUCCAGAAGAGGACCCUCACCAGAAUGCAACCCUGCCAGCAUGCUGAUCUAGGAUUUCUAGCCUUCCAAACUGCGAGAAAUAAAUUUCAUUUGUAUAUAAGCCAUCCAGUCUGUGGUGCUUUGUCAUACCAGCCCCAAAUGACUAAAACAAUAGGUGGUGUGUGUUUCGAUUUUGAUCCUCUCCUUUGAUCAUUCCAUCCUGCUUUAUUUGUUUCUGUUUUCCCCUGUGGUUCCAUACUCCAAUGUAAACCAUGUUGGCCACAGUGAUAGAUCACUGUUUUUUAUUAUUUUUAGAGUUGGUUAGCCAGAACAAUAAAAAUUAAAUUUAUCAAAUCUAUGUAGUAUGAGCAGGCUAGUGAAAACUAAAAUUUAAAUAAUAAUAGAAAAGCCUAAAGUUAGCUGGAAAGAGCAUAUCCAAUUCAGCUAAAUCACUUAUUCAUUGAAUUCAACAAAUACUCUGUGCCAAAUACUCUGCUAGGUUCUGGAACUUUGAAUAUGAAAAAACCCAGUUGUCCCUCUCCAUGAGUUCACAGUUCAGUGGGGAUACAAAAGCAAAUACUUAUGAUACAAUGUAGGAAGUGCAAAAUAUAAAAACAAUCAUGGCUUUUAUGAGAUCACUGAAGAAAGAGGCACUUAGUG